GACGAACGCUGGCGGCGUGCCUAAUACAUGCAAGUCGAACGCACAGUUUAUACCGUAGCUUGCUACACCAUAGACUGUGAGUUGCGAACGGGUGAGUAACGCGUAGGUAACCUGCCUGGUAGCGGGGGAUAACUAUUGGAAACGAUAGCUAAUACCGCAUAAUAUUAAUUAUUGCAUGAUAAUUAAUUGAAAGGUGCAAUUGCACCACUACCAGAUGGACCUGCGUUGUAUUAGCUAGUAGGUGAGGUAACGGCUCACCUAGGCGACGAUACAUAGCCGACCUGAGAGGGUGAUCGGCCGCACUGGGACUGAGACACGGCCCAGACUCCUACGGGAGGCAGCAGUAGGGAAUCUUCGGCAAUGGACGAAAGUCUGACCGAGCAACGCCGCGUGAGUGAAGAAGGUUUUCGGAUCGUAAAGCUCUGUUGUAAGAGAAGAACGGGUGUGAGAGUGGAAAGUUCACACUGUGACGGUAUCUUACCAGAAAGGGACGGCUAACUACGUG
rnacentral:rRNA from 1 species